GACGAACGCUGGCGGCGUGCUUAACACAUGCAAGUCGAACGGAAAGGCCCUGCUUGCAGGGUACUCGAGUGGCGAACGGGUGAGUAACACGUUGGUGAUCUGCCCUGCACUUCGGGAUAAGCCUGGGAAACUGGGUCUAAUACCGGAUAGGAGCCAUUUUUAGUGUGAUGGUUGGAAAGUUUUUUCGGUGUAGGAUGAGCUCGCGGCCUAUCAGCUUGUUGGUGGGGUAAUGGCCUACCAAGGCGGCGACGAGUAGCCGGCCUGAGAGGGUGGACGGCCACAUUGGGACUGAGAUACGGACCCGACUCCUACGGGAGGCAGCAGUGGGGAAUAUUGCACUAUGGGCGCAAGCCUGAUGCAGCGACGCCGCGUGGGGGAUGACGGCCUUCGGGUUGUAAACUCCUUGCGCUAGGGACGAAGCAUUUUGUGACGGUACCUAGAGAAGAAGCACCGGCUAACUACGUG
rnacentral:rRNA from 1 species